rnacentral:siRNA from 1 species
UGCCCCUACAUAUGAUGCCA